AGCCUGUCAACCAGCCAAAGAUGACUUGCCUUGUAACUUUCACAAGGAUUCUUCUGGUUAAAUGUUAGCUAAUCUUGAGACCUUUCUUAGGAAGCAAGGCAAGUCAUUCAUGGCUGUCAAACAAGACUCU
rfam:Citrus sinensis cultivar Ridge Pineapple sweet orange scaffold08834_contig_1, whole genome shotgun sequence.